rnacentral:tRNA from 1 species
GGGUGAUUAGCUCAGUUGGUAGAGCAUCUCCCUUACAAGGAGAGGGUCGACGGUUCGAAUCCGUCAUCACCCACCACUU